UUGUACUCGUUUUUUCAAUGCCUGACUUUGUGCAUAGGUUCAUCAGUUCUGUUUGUACCAUAAAGUAUUGCAUAGUUUUCUGCUACUAUGCUUGGUUUACGUGAAAUGUGACAUUGAUCUUAGCUACUGUUCCGGUAUAUAUGAGCUAGAGUUGGUUCUAGGAAAUUCAAAUUCCAUGAUGAAUUGUGAUGUGCUCAAGUGUAUUUCUAUUGAAACAUUUGCAGGAUUGGUUUCUGGAGAAACAUCGUUGGCUGGUCGGUAUAGAUAGUUCGGACUUUGGGUCAUUCUCUUGAUAUUUAUCACCUCAGUAUGCUGAGAAGAUUCUUUUCACCCUCCAGAUAGGUACACAAUUCUCUUCAGUGAGAAUUAACUAUAGCCCUUUUUUAUAGUAUGCGAUGAGAGCUCAGGAACCACAGACGUUAAAGUUGAGUUCUGGAUGAUGCGUUAUCAUCAGCUUUUGUAUAGAAUUUAGCUCAUUACCCCUGACAUUAUUAUCGCGUGCAGAGUAUUUUCUGCAUGCACAUUCUCUGUAAAUCUGGUCUUGUGAAAUUCAAGUUCAUGAAUAAUGGUAAUAGAGCAUAUCAACACCAUAUAAAACAAGUUGCUUGUUUUGUUUUAUAGCUCCCUUUUACUAUAUGAAACUUUAGGUGAAUGGGAGUAUUGAAGGAUUAUGGUUCCAAAUGCUAAAGGGAUUUGCUAAAAUUUGUAUCUUAACUAUGUUGGUUGAGCCAAUUUGUAUGCACCUCGACUAGAGGCAUCAUUGAGAAAAGUGCAUGGAUACCCGAUUUUGAUAUUGCCAUUUAAAUUGUGUGUAUGACUUCGGGCAACUUCAAACUUAUGGUGUUUGAAAUUAAUCUUGUUAAAGUCCAACUUCAGACACAACGUCUAAAGUUUCAUAUGGAUGGAGUUCAAGUCAUUUGUGUUUGAUUCAUGCACAUAAGUUCAAACAAAAAAUGAUUGAAUUUCAGUUAUACAUGAUUGAUGUUCAAGCAAAAACGACUGAAGAUUAAUCAUUUUUACUUGAACUUACGAUAGAAAUGCAUGAACUUCAGUCAUAUGCAACUUCAGAAUUUUUUUGAAAUAGGACCAGUUGUUUGUUUUUGAAAGCUUCAUUUGUAUGUUGUUAUUGACUUCUCUUUUGCUUUUUCGUUGAAGCAUCAAAUUAUUAUUAAGUACCUUAAACUUUCCAUGAAAGGAGAAAGAUGCUUCUACUUCUUUCAACUAAUUAAAAAUUACUAGUAAAACUUUGGUAAUGUAUCAUCAAUUACAUGGCAAUCUAUAAAUAACUUAUUUAUUCCUUUAUUUGGUUAAUAUUUUGUUUUAAUUCGAUUUGAUUACUCAAAAAAAUGUCUCCAAAAUACAAAGUAUAUUUAGUUUUUCCAAAUAUAAAAGAGUAAAUUGUUUUCUAUCUUUAUGAGAUAGAUGUAAGGUUUACAUACACUAUCUUUUUUAGACUAUGCUUAUAGAAUUAUACUAAAUAUGUUAUUGUUGUUGUUGUCGUUGUUGAAUAUAAAAGAGAAAACCGUUUUCAUAUUAUUAUUUUCUGGUUAUUGCUUGUUGUAGGAAAUAUCUUUAUUAUGACUUGCACUUCAGAUAAAAAAUCGUUUUUUUUUGUUAUUUAUUGCUUUUAGUAGGAGAUAAAUAUGACUUUCACUUUAGACCAAAAAAACGUUUACUUUUUUUGGUUAUUUGCUUUUCGUAGGAAAUAUCUUUAUUAUGACUUUCUUUUUAGAAUAAAGAAUUAUUAAUGCAGUGAAGAAACAAAAAGAGGAAAAUUGUAGCUCAAAAUUAAGUGUAGUUAAAUUGAUUAUAUUACUAAUUUGCCUCAAAAAUUUGAGUUGGAGAUGAAAUUUAUUCAUAUUUGAUAUUUACAUCAAUUUAAUCUACGCUUUCUGUCGUUACGGAGUUCUUCUGUUUGAGUCUACAAAAUCGAAAGUCAACUGAUUGAGAAAUCAAUAUUGAUUUAUGCAAAGAUGCUUCUUUGAAGCGGGAAUAAGGAUACAUAAUAUACCUCUUUAGAUAAUCCAUCAUACAAUCAUAGUUUAAUCAAUAUAUAUUCUCUUCUCGAUUUAAUAUUUAUUUAUAUGAUAAAUUAAAAUAUAUUUUGGUAUAAACAUUAAAUGCGGUAUUUAUUUUUUAUCAAAGGUGGAGCUAACGGAUUCGGCAGAAUCUAUAGCUUUAGUAAAAAAAAAUUGUAUUUGUUUUAAUUAAACAAUUUACUUAAUAUAAUUAAUGAUAACAUAAAAUGGCAAAAAUGGAGACUUGGCUUCCAAGUAUUAGAAAAUUGACCCAUUAUUCUACAUGCUUUUCAAUCCAUUGUGCAGCCUUUUUUAAUAGCUUUGAAUACUCAGAAUUUGAAGCAUAAUCCAAAUAUUAAAAAAAAUAAAAAAUUGAGUAAAUUUGCUUAUUAUUGCCCCUCAAAUUGACCAAAAAGAUCAUAAUUAGGAAUAUGUUUUAUUAGUUCAUGCCCCACUAGUCAAAAUUGAACUCUUUGACUUAAAAAUAAUAAUUGUAAACAUCUAAUUCUUGUAGAUGCGUUUCAAUCUAUUUUGUGUCAUGAAUGAUAGAAUCAUAGUAGAUUUGAUAUUUUCAAAAUUUAUCUAUAACUCACUAGAGAUCCGAAAAAUAAAAAAAAGAUUUAUUUCAUAACAAGGCACUUGUGGGAAAAAAGAAGAAUAUUACAUGUGCUAUUUAAAUAACUAUAUUUAAUUUGGAAAGGGAGUUUAAGAUAUUUAUUUCAACUUGUAUAUUAUACAGGUUAUGAUCGAAAAAAUAAAUAAACACUUAAAAUAUUGUUAAACGUUAGUUUGAUAGAGAAAACAAAUACGAUAAUCUAAAUUUUGAAUGAUUUAACAAAUUUUCAAGGUAUAAAAUUAUACGAGUUUUGUCAGAGACAUAGAAUAUGUCAAAUAAGUUAAAAAUAUAUAAUAAAAAAGAGUGUCAUAUAAUUUGGAACAAAAAUUAUCAUGAUACUCUUAUUGAUAGGUCAAAUGAAUUAAAAAAGCUACUAAAAAGAAUCAUAUUAUUGUAGAACUCAAGAUAGCUAAGAAAAAUUAAAAGCCUAAUAUAUAUAUUUUAAUAACUUGUUGCAUAUAAAAAUACAAUAAAGUAUAGUAUAAUAUAAAGUCUUUUUAUUUUCUUCUUGAACUUUUCCUUUAUUUUUGUUUAAUCAUACCUACUACUCUAGUUAGCCGGCAAUUAAUUAAAUAUACAUUCUCCCCAAAUGGGUAGCAAUAUAGUUAAACUUUGUAUCAUUAAUUAGUUAUUAAAUUGUUGUCAAAAAUGAAAGUUGUAUAUUUUAUUAACAAUAUAAGUUACAUUGUCAUCAAUGACAUUAAUAAUUUAUGUUAAUUAAUCGAUAAGGAAAUGAAACAAACAUAUUAGAAAUAAGCUGAUAAAAUUUACUUACAUCGAAUAUUUAUACCAAAUUAUAUUGAUAUACCAUAGUGAAGUGUUAAAUUAGUUAACCAUAAUUUAGUGAUGAUCAUAUUUGUAAAAACACAUAUUAUAUAUUUAUUGAAUUGAUAUGACUAUGAUCAAACCUUAUUGGAUUUGUGGUUAGUGUUGAUAUCACAGAUUAUUUGUAUUUGUUGACACAAGUAUCAUGUCUUGUUUUUAAAAUUAUAAAUAUUAAUUUUAAGAAGAUUUACCGAUAAAAUAUUCGUUAAUGACAUAAUAAUAAAUUUUAAUUUAUUAUUACUCUAACAGUAUAUAUAUAUAUUAAACUCAAUCAAUAAUGUAGCACAUUCUUAUUCUCAACAAUAUUUUCUGAAAUACCAUUAAAAUCUCCCCCAAAAAAAAACUUAAAACAACAAUUUUUUAAAAGAAAUAACAAAAAAUAGACUUGGUCUUAACCAACCAGACAAAGAAAUGCUUAGUUGGGUAAAUCAUUAAGCAUUUGCCUAUGACUCUAUCCUUAAUCCUUAUCAUAAACUAAUCAAACUUUUAUUAAUUAAUCCGAAAUAUUCUACAAUGUAACCAAUCUUUUUUUAGUUUCAAUCUAAUAUAUCUGACACUCGAUUAAUUUAGAUUAGUAUUACAAACACAUUUGACAUCAUUUUUUUAUACACAAAAUUUGAAUCAAGAAUCAUCCUCGAAAUAACCAAUUAAACCUUAAUAACAUCAUACAAAAACAAAAAAAUUAUACAAAAUUUCCAAGAAAGAAUAAUUAUUCAAAAAAAUAAAAGAAAAAAUCAUUGACCAAAAAAAGUCUCUUUGCUUGAAUUUUAGAGCCUUUAGCUUACGUGUGUAGCUGUCAUAUUUUAUAACGCGGUUGUCUUUUUCUCCACGUAUUUAUCUAUUUUCCUUAACCCUACCAACUUUCUCCAUAGCCACCCCAUGCAUUUCAUGUUACGGAGACGGAUUCAGAAAUUAAAAUUAGUGAAUUUAGGUUUACGAGCAAAGAUAAAUGACAUAUCUACCCUUGCAAUUGCAAUAAAAAGGCGACAUAUUGCAAGCUCGAAUUCCGAUAGAAGAAUUUGUGAUGAUUUGAUAUGAUCUGUAAUUAAUCCAACAAGAUAAUUAGUCGUUAUAUAUAAUAAGAAGUCAUACAUAUUUAUCAUGACUUGCGAGUCACAUGCUUCCUUGUGUCGUAGCACGCUUUGGAAUUAUAUUGGUUCGAUCAAGUUUAUGAGCAAUCGACCAUGAUAUCAAAUAUGUUGAAUACAGUAUGAAGUUAUAUCGAUUUGUCAUGACUUGCAUGUGAAUUUCAAUCUCUCUUGUCGCCAUCUUUGCCACUCAACUUAAGGGUGUUUUAAGUCCAAGAAAAUUUUCAUAAUUUUUUUUUUAAAAAAAAUCUUAAAAGUAAUUAACUAAUUAAUUCUUUUUAUAAUGACUAACAAGGACAAAAUUUGAAUAGUGCCUCAAUAAUAUGACUUAGUCCACAUAUUCUCACUAUAUAUAACCUAAGAAACCCCACCCACCCAAAGAAAAAAAAAACUCUCAAACAACCAACACAAUCUCAAAAAAGAAAAAAACCAAUUAUCCAUUUUUCUUCAAUUCUUCUUCAAAAAAUAGAAAUAUCUUUCUUUUUUUUCUUGACUAUAUAUUCACUAUAAUCAUAUUCUUUUUUCGCUCCCACUCAGAUCUAUCGCGAUUUAAAAAGACUUCAUUUUCUUAUUAGCAGACCAACUCUGUUCAAGAACAAAUUACCCUUCUUUCAUUUUUCGACAUUUCAUAGUUUGUUAAUUCAGUGCUUUAUUUCUCGAGUCAAAAAACAACAAAAAUGGGGAUAGAGAAUUGGUCUUUAUUAGGAAAACUAAAAAGGGCAGUAAAAAAGAUUACUUUUUUACUAAAUUUUGAUAUCAACAAAUGGAAAUUAGCAACAUAUUUGAUUGGAUCAUCAAGAAAAAGUUUGCAUCAAUUGAGUUUCAAUGAGAAGAUUUUGCAAAAACAGCCAACUGGAUUGAAUGUAAUAUGUAUUGAUGAAAAUGAUGAUCAAGAUUUGGCUAAAAAUGCAAAUAAUGGUUCAUUUAAAGGACUUCAAAGAACUAUGAGUUAUCCAUCAUCAGAAGAUGAUAUUGAUAAAAGGGCUGAAAUGUUUAUUGCUAAUUUCUAUAAUCAAUUGAAACUUGAAAGACAGAUUUCAUUGGAGUUAAGGUAUUGUAGAGGGAAUAGUUUUGGAUCUUCUACGUCUCCGUGAGAGGAGCAGAGACGGAUUCAGGAUUUUAAGUUUAUGGAUUCAAGAUUCUGCGUGUUUUUUUGACUUUGACUUUUCAAGAUUUUUAAAGUGUGUAUAGAUUUUGUGAAGAACGGGAUGGAGAUAGUCUGGUUUUGUUAAAGAUGAUCUUCAUUGCUAAAACUUGUAAAAACAGAGCACACAGUUUUUCAUUUGUAUGCUUUUUAAUUCCUUAGGUGGGGUGGGGUGGGGGUCUGGGAUUUCUUUUACUUUUUUUUUGGUCCUACUUGUAAAGUUGGUAUCAUGUGAGCUGAUCAUGAGUUCGAGCUAUGGAAACAGUUUCUUGCAGGCAUGUGACCAAAUCAUGGGUUUGAGCUGCGAAAACAUCAUGAGGUCGAGCUAUGAAAAGUCUCUUACGGAAAUUCAGAUCAUGAGUUCAAGACAUGGAAAUAGUCUCUCGAAGAAAUGGCGCACGGGGAGGGGGUGGGGAUGAAGAAUUCUGCAUAGAUUCUUAAGGUGUGAUUUUUUUAAAUUUAUUUUUCUUGCCAUGUACAUUGUACAGAUGAAAAGUAUACUUGCACAUUGAAUAAAGGAUUAGUUUUUCUUUUUGACUUAAUAACAACAUAUUCAGUGUAAACGCUUUAAUCCACUGACUUUUGUGGGGUAGAAAGGUUGUUUUUGAUAGACAUAAUGACUAACUCGGUGGAUUAGAGAAGAAUUCGUAAAUCUCAAGUGUUUUUUCUAACCUCGAUCCUUCUAAUUGGUGAAGGAGAAUAGUUGACUGUAGUUGGCAGAUCGCUGCUUAACAAAUGAUGUGUGGUUAAGUUCACACAAAUUCAAAAUCUAUUGGAGAACAAUGUUGUUAUAUCACCCUCGAAGAUUUCUCAAUUAUAAAAGAAAUAUAGACAGAUUCAAGAACAUUUCCAAGCUAUGACGUCACAAAUUUCACAAGUGACAACAACAAUAUAUCCAAUGUUCGGGAGGGUAGAGUGUACGCGUACCUUAUCCCAAACUUGAGAGGUAGAGAGUAUUUUUGAUAAACCCUCGGCUCAAGGAAAUACAAAACUUCACAAGUAUGAACCAGGACACAAAUAACUACCGUAAAAUUAAUACUAGAACAAGUGCUAAACAUCGAAGUACACACCAUACAAGCACAUAUUGAUCAAAUUGCUAUUACAAUAAUACUACUAGUAAUUACAUUUGAAAGAGCGAAAAAAUGUUCAUGAAAUUAUGCACCACGUCAAAUGUAUUGUGGUACAAAGUGAAGUAUUCUGCUGUCCCGGGACUUGUUGCACUGUAUAAUAUCAUCUAAUUCACAUACCUAAUACCUUUGCUGGGGCAAUAAACGCUGCUAUUUGAAUUCAGAAUUGACAGAAAUGAGGAGAUCAUCUAGUAGUCGAUCACAAGUAUCCUUCAGUCCGAAAUUCAAAUGCCAACUCCACUCCAAGGAUAAAUACGAGGCCAACUUUUAAGCUGCGGUAGGAUAAAUAGUUAUCUGCUAACACUUUUGGCAAGAAAGAAAAUCGAACUGAGCUUGGAGUAGGAUGACUAUUGGGUAUCACCAAGAGAGCUCAGAAGGUGAAGGUGGUUGUUAUCUUCGGGCUUUGCUGGUCGAGUGUAAAUAUAUCGCUACAGAAACAACGCUGCAAAGAAGUAUAAAAUUCCUAUUCAGUUAUAUGCCUUGUCAAAUUUGUGGAAUUUUCCCCAAAGAUGAAAAAAACAUAGCGGUAAAACAAAUUUUCACACUUACGUGGAACCAAGGAAAAAGGCAAGGGAAAGGUGAAACCCAAACAGAAAUACAGAAACAACUGCAGUCAGUAGCAUUGCAACUGAAGUUGAAUAGACCUGCAAACAAUUACAAGCUAUAUUAAAAUGAUAUCUUGUCAGCUUGUUCAUAGGCAGAUUGUGUGUGCGAGAGACAAAAUUCUCGUCCCUUCUUUACAGGACUAUAUCUCCUCAAAAGCACGCAAACUUAAAGCAAAAGAAAAGGAAGAGGAAAUCUCAUUGUCAACUGCACCACAAUCAUUUCUAUACUCUAAGGACGUGGAUAUGAGUGCAUCCUAGAGCUUCAUAAGAGGGAUCUAAGAGACUCUUUAAAUGGUAGCUAAACUUCAUGCCUGAUCCAUCAAUGUUUUAGCACUCCAAAAUAGUCGCCUAACCAUUGUCCUAAUUUUCAGCCGAUAGCUCAAAUAUUUUGGAAUGUCUGUUUUCUCUGUAAUUACAUUUCAAGCAAUAAGUUAGCAGCUUAGUAUACAUCAUUUCUUGAGUGGAAUCUCUAGUCCAGUUUACCAUCAUUGCUUUACUCUUCAAUUAGAAAAGUAACAUAGCCAAGGAAAAGAUAAAGCAUGUCAGGCAUUGUGCUCACAACAUAGAUAUUCUACGGUGAUCUCAGACGUGGAUAAUUGGCACUAGACUAAUGAAUCCAAUUAACACAAACUAAAGCAGAUGCACAACCAGAGUCAACCCUACCUUCACAAUAUUGUCAGCAUACUUCAUCACCAUUGAUACUGCAAUACCACUGCAGAGAGAAGUCUUGGUCAGUAAACAAUUGAAAGGCCACUGAUGAGUGAUGAUGCAAUCAAUCCAAUUUAAAACAGAUGAAUGACAGAAUGUUAAACCAAAAAACCACAGGCAAAAGGAAAAAAAGGAAUAAUGCAGCAGAAAUGAAACUUACACCCAAAGUUACUCUAUCUAAAUAACCCAGUUUCAGUGUAUAUACAAAUCAUUUUGAAUGGUUAAUUAGGUUUGCAAAUGAACACAAUAAGGGGUGAGUGUACAUUGUAUAAAAAAUUAAAAAAAACAGCACAUUGAGCAAAUACGACAAACAAACAAUUUAGGAAAAAAUGCAACAUGGCAGAGCUUGCACCUAGUGGAACUGUCUUUUCCCUAGAGUAUUGUUUAUGUCAAUGAACACAGCCAAUACAAAAUAGUUCCAUUAACUUAAUGCUUAUCAAGAGAACAACUUAAACACUAAACUAAGCAACUGCAAAGCACAGAAAUUUUCGAGUACGUUUAUGCCUCAGGAACAUGAAAUAGCUAGCACAAGAAAAGUAGUACUCUCCACUGUAUCCAUAAUCUUGAAAUGUAUCCAUAAUCUUGAUAUGUAUAAAAUACCACUAUGAAGAUUUAGAGGAAAUCAAACCUUAGUGCGUGGUUGAGAAUCAUGAGAACCGUAAUCAGUGAAUAUCCAUGGAAGAAUCCACUGCAGAAGAUAAGGUCAAAUUGUAAAACUUUACAUAGAUAACAAAACAUGAAGCUCAAUCUGAUGAGGUAAUGUCCUUUCAAGAAGAGUUAUUGUCUGUGGUCACUGAAACUGUGAUGUGCUUAACCUAAUGUUUAUUUGUGAAUGAAGCAUCAUACAAUAAUGAUUGGAACUAAAAAUCACGAUAAAAUAUAAUGGACAGAUAGGAAAGCUCCAAAAGAACCUUUAGAAAUGGAAAGAGUACUGAGAAAAAACAAGGUAUGCCUGAGAUAAUAUUCCCAUAAGUUAAACUACAACUAAACUUCAAUCACAAGAUAUUGGAAUGAUUCUCUAUUCCAAUGUACAAUUAAUUUACUAAGCUAGCUCAAAAAACCUGAGGUCAUAGCAUAUUACAAGUGUUCUAUUUUAGAGAAAAAGAGGCGCACAAUGCAAAUAUUUACAUUGUAAAAUGAAAGGAAGGAAUGCUAUCAACUUACUCGUUCAUGACUGCAUCAAAAUCUUGAGUCAUUAUUGCAAAAGCAUUGAAGAUCAUUCCAAAGACAUACAACCAGAAGUUCUGAACAUUAAUAUUUCUUGACGGUCUCUUCUUAAUUAUAGCCUGCAAAGAUAAAAGAAAACUUAUGCACAUGGUAUCUGAGUCUAGUUUACUUUAACGUUAUGCCGAGCAUUUUUCGGUUGCUGAUGAAGCCUGAGAUGGUAAUUAAACACGUAAAUCACCAGGCUCAACUCUAGUAAAGCAAAAUGCAGUGAGAAGCAGUUCUGAGGUCAUCUAAAGUGCAUAUCUUUGGACUACUUAUCUAACAGAACAUAUCUGAAAAGAUGUACCUCUGUGUAAACUCCUGCAAAACCACUCAAAAGGGCCAUUACCUGAAAUCAAACGAAGAGGUAUAAAACCAUUAGAAGCAAUAGUUUUAACCUUAAUGUUAUAUAGUAAUGGGAAUAUCUGCAACUUACAAUAGCCAUAACCCAACCUUGUAAAGGAGCCUGAAGAACAUGAUCAGAACUGUACAGAAAGCAUCAUUACAUUAGAGAAAUCCAUUGUUCAUUUCUCUAUUCAUAUAAAAUCAACAGAAUAUAAGCAGUAAAAUCAUGAUUGCCAUCUUUUACCAUCCAGGCUGAAACACAAAAAAUAUAUAACAAGAUAUUCAUCUAUAUAAACAGUUCUAGAGAUGAGAUGCGGAAACUGCUAUAACCUCACCUAGGAUUAAGCUGUGCAGUGGUGCACCCAGCACAAAGUAGAAUGAAAGCAGCCCACUGAAUUUCAGUUAACCUGAAAGUGAAUGUUGCUUUGAGUGUGACAAAAUAUAGAACAUCAAAAUAGGUAAACAAGUAGGAACACAUUCUUAUAAUAUUAUCCAGAAAGAUGACAAAAUAAACGUAGCAAACCUGACUAUAUUAUUCACCUUGAGGUUACUAGCUUCCUAUAGUCAUAUCUGUCAAUUAGAAUUUCUUUUUAAUAAGAAAAGCUUUUCCCUUGAAGAUGACCUUUAGUGGAACCUUUUUCUUUUCUUUUCUUUUUUUACAUUUUUUGGCAUCCAUACAAUAUUCUUGAUGAUCAAUGCAUUUCAUAGAAAAUUUUAAGAUUUUCUAUUUUUGUGUACUUGAACGUGGUUUCUCCUAUCACUUGAAUAAAAUUCAAACUUCAUAAAAAGGUCAAGCUUUUCCGUUCAUAUCCACCGAAUCAGAAAAUAGUGCAGGACAACCUUGCAGUACAAGGUUUCCAGAAUAGAUAGAUACACUCCCAGCUCCUUGUAUAUUACAGGGGCUGCCAAUCAACUAACCUCCAUGAUAUAUGGCGGAGCAAACUGGCAUAGGCUUUACUGAGUGUUAAGUGUUAACUGCUCAUUCCUUGACAAAUCAAAGUGAAACUAAGGAGAUAGAUAGCACACCUGAUCUCAUCUUUAAGGAAAGAGACAUACACCAUAUAUAUGGAAGCAUAGAAAACUUUUUACUCUCCUACAUGGGGCGUUGUCAAACUUCUAUUUUUCACCACAAUAGGCUGUCCAAGUAUCUGGGACUUAGCUGUGGUUCCUCCCUCUUGCAGCUCAUUUCUUUUUCCCACUGCAACAUGGUAUCUUUUAAUCUUACCAUGCAGGCUGCAGCUGCUUCCCAGCAUUCGAUUUCCUCCUAUAUAUUUAGGACCCAAAGCCUGAAAAGCUAAAAAUGCUUCCUAAAAUGCAUCACCAUCCUCUUAACCUCUCUUCCUCCCUCCUCACCCUCUUUCAUAAAACUGAACUGUUUAAGUAUCUCAGCACAAACAACAUCUUCUUUUUUUAAGUAUCUGAACACAAACAAAAUAAGAGGUGGACAAACUUCCUUACGGCGAAUGGACUACAUUCUAUCUUUGAUCACUAAAGUAAAACACAUAACACCUUGCUAAUGGAAUGCUGGAAGCUUAUUUGAAUGCUGAGUGUUAGAAACUUACUGGAAUGCUGGCAGAAUCAAAGAGUAAACAAGGGAUUGAAGCAGAACAGGAAAACUACUCCUCGUUUUCCAUUAUGCAUUAUGUGAGACAUCUGAUUACAAAGAAAUAAGAGAUGCUUUGAAGGCCAAAGACUUCAUAUUUCUUUGUUAUAAAUAGAUGUUUAUAAGACUUGUAUUUUUGGUGUAGUAAUUGCAUGAUUGGAAGCUUAUCAUACUACUUAGAUUUUUGGACCUAUUGGAGAUAAAACUAUAGCAUCAAUGCAGUAGUGCUUUGAUUGUAUUUUGUAGUACCUCUGUGGUACUUUAUUAAUGAAAGUAACCUUACGUUAUAAAAAGGAACCCCCAAUUCAGUGUGAAACAGAGGGAGCAUAUAUAUGAAAUUACUCAUAUGUAUAUAUAGGCACACACAUAAUUAUCUAAAGCAGCAUUAGAGUACAUUGAAGUUGGAGCUUUUUAUGCUAAGAGAAGACAAACUCAAAUUAAUUUGGGCCAAAUGGAGUAUUCGCAACAAGAAAAUAUUCUGGGGCUUUUUUGUUGUCUGUUGUUUUUAUGUAUUUACCCAGACAACAAGAUGUCUGUUCAUCAAAAUUUGCACCAUAAGUUCAACUUCAUAUCCUUAAUUAGUGAAAAGACUUACUUCCUUUUGAGAAUAAUUUGAUACAAUAUGCCAGUGCUGAUAAUAUUCAAGUUCUUCAGUAUCUGAUAUCCAGGAGCAUCUACAUAGGCAAAAAUGUAAUACUGCAAAGACCCAUGAGAUUCAAUCAACAACAUGUGAGAUAGAAGACUUAAUCAAGUCUGGAAACAAAGAAAGAUAUAACCAAAAAGCAAUAUAAACCUGCCUGAAGUAGAUUCUUGACAAGGUAAAGUGCAGCAGGAAUAGGAUACACUUUAACUUCAUCCCACGUAGUGCUCAACCUAAAAAAAUCAUUACAUUAAUAGGACAGGAGACAAAAAAACUAGCCUACUUAUAACUGAAAACAAACCUCAGUAUGCAAACUCUUAUUCAAGAGACAAGAUCAAUAAAAAUGUUUGACAAUUUGCAGUGUCAUCCACCAAGCAAAUCUUCCAAAAGUAACUCAUUAUGUCAUUCACUAGUCAUUAUUUGAUAGACAAAUCAAAAGUGAAGAAAAAUUGAAAAGUUCAUAUUAAAUGAUUUAAUAAAACCAAAGCUAUUUCAUACACAUAGGAAAAAUCAAACAGUAAGAUGGAAUGUGUUACAACCAAGCAUUUGGAUCUAAAUUCUCUGGCGAAGUUGACCAUAAGCCUUGUGCAAAUACCCUAAGAUCUUACAAGGUAGGGUAUCCAACUGAAUUGGCUAAUAUAUAAAAAUAUAUAUUUUUACCAUACAACCAAGGUGUAGCCUAGUGGUUGGUGAAGUGAGUACAAACCUUGGAAACCAGGGUUCAAAUCUUAGCAGAGACAAAACAUACAAGAUAUUUCUUUCCGUCAACCUUAAGUCAUGGUAAGGUAUUUCUUUCCGUCAACCUUAAGUCAUGGUUUGCAUAGUUACCUGAUGCUUGUGAAUAGUCGAGAAGUGUGCAAGUUGGCCCAUACACCAUUGUCACAAAGCUAUUGCGCCACGGUCCCAAACAAGUAGGGGUUGGCCAUAUGAUAGCUCACUAACCAUUUUUUCCAUUUAAAUUCAUUUCAAGCAAACACUACACAAAAUAAACUUUUUAAAAAGUACCAGAAAUUCUCUAUAUUUUCUCUAAUAGGGCUAAAAAGUUCCUAGACAAGCACAGGAUUUUAUACAUGCAGUGCUCAAGUAGAUUCAUAAUACAGAUAGAGAAGGCAGAAAAUAGUAAUUCAGCUCCGUACACAAAAAUUGUUACAAACCUGUUAUCAUCAGUAACACCGUCCUUUCUCCAGAUUCUUAGCAAGGCCACAAGAGACAAUGCACAUUUCAAUGCCUCUACCUAUUACAUAGAAGUUUGAAUUCAAUUACACAACAAAAAGUGACAAUUGAACCAUUGUUUACAACUAUAAGCUCAAAACAACAUUGCAAAAGCAGCAAAAAAACUCUUGUGAUUUGUGUCAUUUCACUAACCAGAAAAUUUGCAGUGGUUACACUGUACUCAUACUUCCCAGCUCUCUUCGACCAAACAAUGAGAAUCGAUUGUGAACUCGUAAGAACUGUCAGAAUAAGUGUUACAAAUGACCUAUUCCAGCCAAUAGAAAAACAAAACAUGAGCAACUCUUCUCAUUAUCGCAGGCUCUAGCUACACAGUAGACUCUAACUAGCUAAUAACACACACCGGAUGUAGUUCAUAGUGAGCAUAAUUUAUUACAUGUACAUGAUCAGGUAAAAUCAAUGAGUUCAAUUAAACUCCCUAGAUCAAUAAUGGAACUAUACGCCUCAAUUUCUUGUGGCGCAACCGGUUAUUAGAACUAUAACACCGAUUACGUAUAAAUUUUCAGCUGAAAUGAGGAUGAAAAAGAGCAAAUACCUUCGGCUUUUCUGUCGGAAGCCACCAAUCUCCGGCAUUGCUCCGAUCGUGGCCAUGAUGUAUGCUUCCUACACUUGUUCGAUCCCGAAUUUCAGGCAAUUCGUCGAACGCAUGGGUGAAAUUGUAGAUAAAGAAGAGCUUCCGAAUCACAGUUUGCUUUGGAGAUUUGUAAGAUUCAGCGAUGAAGUGUGAAGAAAUGAAAGGGAUGAUGGGCUUGGACGGUCUCUAUUUUUUGUGGGCUGGGCUUUGAAAAUUCACAAAAGGAAUAUUUUAUGGCCCAUCUACAUUUUUUCUCUCUUCGGAUAAAGUGUGCGGAUAUCCAAUUUUGACGUUGUCGUUUAACUUUUGUCCUCUUUCUAAAGUGUUUUGCACAUGUGCUUAUUUUGGUUUAUUUUAGAUAUAUAUACGUUGUCUAAAUAUAGUAUUGACAAAAUUUAAAUUUAGACACAACGUCAAAAAUUUAACUUUUGUCAUAUACUGUUAUUUUUAAGGUAUUCAAGGAUAUUAGUAUUUUAGUUUAGAGAUAUGAUCGUUCAAUUUUUUGUAUUUUAAAAUGGCUAAACUUUAAUUAUAUUUGAAACGCAGACUAAAACUUAAUUAACAAUUCAAAAAAUAAUUAUUUACACAUUUCUCCUUUUACCCCCUCCCCCACCAACACCCCGCCUUCCUUUUUCUUUCGAAAAUGGGAAAUCUUUUUUCUUGUUCAACUCAAUUUUGAUCCCUCUAUAUAGUUCUUUUUUAAAUGUCUUCAAAGUAUCAAAGAAAUAGAUGAAAAUAAACCAAAAAAUAUAUGUGAGAUGGUAAAUGUCAACAAAAUGAUGAAACAUGAGGAUAGUAGAAAGGGUAAGUUAAAUACUUCAAUGGCUACGUACAGUUCAAUAAAUAUAUGUUAAACAAAAUAAAAUUUAAUAUUUUAUUCGGUGACAACAAAAUGAGUCACAUAGAGAUGAUCGACACGAUCACCCGACUCAACGAUCAUCCAUAUGUUGGUGCUUAUUUAUGAGGGUGUAAAAUGAUUCACAUAGAUAAAGUCUCACGCAAUUGCUAUACAAACAUGAUAUUCACUUUUAAGAAGUGAAUUUUCAUUAUAUGAGACAUCGCAUUGAAUAUGAAAAGCAUAUUCUUCAUUACUGACUUUUCGUGGUUGAUCACACCUCACACCUAAAGAAGUUGAUCCAUAUGACGACGACGGCUCUUCUCUUACUGUCAAAAAAAGAUUUACUCUCAAUCCAUCAUGCACUUCUUGAUAUCAUUCUGAAAUAGUUUUCAGACAUACACCAACUAUACAUGCUUAACCUUUUUUUAAGAUAAAGAUUUCAAAGGACCAAACGAUAAUAACAAAAAAGUCUAUAAAUUAUGUAUUUUCAGUCCGAUUAUACUACUUUACUCCAAUUUUAACAUGACAAAAGAAGUAGAUAUAUGAAUAUAAUAGAAUAUCAUUAUCUCAAUUUUGUUAUGUUCAAUGAAUUUGAGAACAAUAUAUUAACAUUGUUAAAUGUUUUUUUGCCCAUACCAUAAGCCAAAUUGGGAAAAAAAUAUAAAUAUAUUUUUGAUGUAACCUCAAUAUAAGGGAAAAGAAUUUACUUAUUUUUUUCUUUUCCUACCAAUACAAAAGGCUAUUAUAGAAACUACACCAUUUACCACUUUCCCCUUUAUUCCAUUUCCUCCCAACAAAAAAUUCUCUUUCAUUUCCUCAACCUAUACAUACACAAACAAUAUAUAUAGAUAGAGAAGCAGGGGGGGUGGGGUGUAAAAAGGGAGAAAUGGCAUCGGAGGAUGAAUUGAUGAUGCAGGAUGCCACCGACGACGGCGAGUCCUUCGAUGAUGACUUCUACAGCGGCGGCGAUGCCCAUGAUGAUUCCGAUGAUGAUGACGUCAUGGAUUACGAUUUCAUCGAUAACGACUCCGAUGAUUCCGAUACGGUCAUCGCACAUCAUCGCUCUCAGGUACAGUUGGAGAUUUUUGAGUUUUUUUGCUUUUUUGUUUGUUUUGUUUAUUAAAUUUAGGAACUUUUUUGAAUUUGGAACUGUUUAUGUUUUUAUUUUUUGAUUGAUUACUGGAUAUAGUUCAUUGCUAGUAAAGGUAUUGAUUUGAUGUUUUUUUUUUUUGCUUAUCUGUUAGAUUACCUGUGUUCUGAUGAGUGGUGGGUGUACCAGACACAGCUUCUCUACCUCUUGAGGUAGGGGAAAGGUCUGGGAACACUCUACCCUCCUCAGACACUAAACUGGGUAUGCUGUUAUGUUACCUGUGUCCAGACCGAUAUAUUUGUUGUUUCCAAAAGUUUAUUUUGGCUUUUGAAACUUAGAUUUGUAACAAUAGGGGGGAGUAUCUAGUGUUCGAGUUAGAGUUGAUUUACACGGAAGGAAAGUGAGGAAUGAUUUGGUUGGAUUAACCCCUUUCUCUUCCAUAUUUAGUAGAAGAGGAAAGGGGAAAAAAUAUAACCUUUUUUUUUAUAAGAAUAACUGGGGUUUCCCUAUGAAUACAGUUUAUUCCGUCUGGCCUCCAGUCCAUUUUAGUUGUCGUGCUUACUAAAACUAACUGGUCCAAAACAGUAGUCGUGUUAGCAAAUUGAGAUAUAAUUUAUUAGUUAGUUUUCAUCUUUACGCUUACUUAAAUGUAUGGAAAAAAAGAUUAGUAUUAAAUCCAUAUAAAAAAUAAAUAAGGAUAAUUUAGUCAAGUUAUCUCUUUAGUUAAUGUUUUCUUAAAGGCCGUGUAAACAUGACAGGUAAAAUGCUAAGUUGCGUGGACUCUUCAUUUUAGCUGCCGCACCUGUGUCGACACGAGACGGGUGCGGGUGUGGGAUACGUGUGAGAUUUAGUCAACCCACAUUGGAUACUUUGACCGGAGUCUGGGGACAAAUUUUGGGGAAAAUUGAGAUUUUGAUAGAAGAUAAAAUAGAUUUAAGACAUGAGUAAUGGCAUACCUUAAAUAUUAUAGUUCCUUUGUCUCUUUUUUAGCUUUUCCUGUUGGUCAAUAUUUGUUGUUUCAAACCAAACGAAGAGAAACUAAGGAUUCAAGCGGUUGUGUUCUGACUUUUGGUAGAGAGUAGCACCGAUCUGUAAGGAGAGUUGGUGGAAGGCCUUGAAUGACUUUCUUUUUCCUUUUUAGGGGAAGAACCAGAGAGCGUGAAAGAAGAAGUUGGGGGUCUUUCAAAAACAAGAACAUCGUUAUAUCUCUAUUUUAUAAUUUUGGAUUGUUUAGCCGAAUCCCAGCACCCGUAUCCAUACAUGGAUCCGUACCCCCAAAUCUUAAAAUUUAGAUUUUGCCGAAUCCGAUCCUUGGAUUCGCAUCCACAUGGGAUACCCGCACCCGAGUCCAAGCAACUUAGGUAAAAUGGACAGGAGAGAGUAGUUUAUUCAAGACAGAGAGCAGUAACUAUUGCCAUUUGGGUUCUCUUACUGCUUGCUUUCUUUCCUGGGUUUCUGCUUAAGUUGGAGUUUUGUGUUCACGUUAUGCCUUUUCUAAAAGAAGCGAUUUAUGACUACUAACUUGCGUAGAAAAUCGGGUGCAUAUAGAGGCAGAUUCAUUGUAUCAGGUGGGGGUUUUGGGGAACCCGGUAACGUUUUCCCAAACCCUGUAUUUAUGUUGAGAAUCCAUUUAUUAUAUAAGAAAUUGAUAGUUGGGAGUCCAUUACUAAAAGAUCUCAUGCUUGAUGUGGAAUCAAUUCCCCUUGCAGUCUGGUGCAGAUGUCCUCUCUAAUCAUAGCUCUUGAAUUUUUUCGCAUUGAGAAACUAAGAUAUAUCAUCUCCUGCUUUGGUAACCAAGUGUAUGUUCCUAAUAGGGAUGCUAUAAAUCUAAUAUGGAAUAAUGACAUAUGACAAGAGAGUGCUUUUAAUAUGGAUAUUAUUAAGACUGAUAAGAUAUAAUGAUGGGUCUUCCCAAGGAAUUUAUAAGGCUACUUUGAGCGUCAUAUUUGUGGCAGUUCAAAUUGAAUUAGAGGUGUAGCAUGCCCUGAAGCCUAAAUGUAUUAUGGAUUGUGGAAGGAAAAAACAUUUUUGGGCUGAAUCUUUACCUUUUCUAAAAAAAAGCAUUUGUGGCUAAAUUUGGGUGCUCCAAGGAAUGCUUGAGUAAUGUUGUGGAACUUCUCUGCUAGCCGUGCCUAGUAAGAAGUACCACUUACUAAACCAAAUUGCAACCCGUGUUUCUUUGAUGCCAAAACUGUAGAAGAAUAAGUAUUGAUGGAGAAAAAACAUCUCUUCAAUAACCUUCUAGUUGGAGCAGUGAAUAAGAACACGAGAAGCGGAGAAAAGCGACCAGGGCUCGCUUCACCAAAGUCAGAAGCGUGAAGUGAAGCGUAUGUUUUAUUCAAUUGAAGCGCAAUUUAAUAUAAAAUAAAAAAUAUUAAAUUUGCAUAAAUAAAUAACCAAGAACUCAAUAGAAAUAACAACAACAUACCUAGUGUAAUCCCCCAAUGGGGUAUGCGAAUGAUGGUGUGUACGCAACCUUACCCUUACCUUGUGAAGGUAUUAAGGCUAUUCCCCUAGACCCUCGGCAACAUGAGAUAACAUAAAAGAUUGAAUCAACUCAAUUGAAAUAACAUAUUAGGCAAAUCUUUCAAUUCUUAAAUUAGAAAGUAAGUAAUAGAUACUCUCAUAACAUAUUAAGCAAAUUUAAAACCAAAUCAUAAAGGGAGCAAUAUCCUAUCUUCAAGAAUUCCAAAAAAAGAGGAGAAGAGAGAAUAAUAGAAAAUGGAGGAGAAAAGAAGUAGAGAAAUAGAUUGAAAAAAGAGGAGACGAGAGAAGAGAGAAGAGAAAAGGUAUCAAAGCAACGGAGAAAAGAAGAGAAAAAAUCGUAAAGAGAGGAGAAAUUUGAAGAGGAAGAUAAGAGAAGAGGAAGAAGAAGAGGAUAAGAUUUACCUCGAAACCCUAAAAUUGGAGGAGAAGAAGAGAAGGGAAGAAGAUGCCUAAGUCUGUCGCAAAAGUGAUGCUUCACACUCGCCUCACUUCUGCUUCUUCUGCUAAAGCAAGCACUUUUUGAUCUCGCCUCACUUCAGGGAACAAAAGCCCCUUGACCUGUCACCUCGCCUCUUUGAAGCUUUUAAUAACAUUGAGUUGGAUGUAUUAUAAACUUGAUAAGGCAGGAAAAUGAUGGUUCAACAGUUGUUUCUGGUUCCCAAUCUUGAUAUUUUCAUCACUUCAAGUGCUGAUUUUCAGAUUCUUGAUAUAUUCUGAAGAUCAAAGAUCAACACUUUGACAAGGGACCUGAAAUCACCUCAUACGUGACGUAUUAUAGAUCCACAUAAGAAAUAAUAGAAGAAUGUAGCAGAAGAUUUUUUUUUGAGAAUGAAGAUAGAGCAGAAGAUCUUGUUGAGCAAGUUCAAUAAAAAGCCAUGAAGGAUGCUUUCUGUUUACAGAACAUAAUUUCUUGAUGCUGCUUAUCCCCUUUGGUUGACUUCUGAAAGCAUGUUAUGUGGAUAAGAAAACAAACUUUCAAACUUUUUGUGGUUCUCUCCCUUCUUUUGGGGGCUCUUGUUGUGAAAUUUGUUGUUUUUAAGGAAGGGACUUAAUUAUUUUGGGUCUUGUUAACAGCUGUAAGAUAUGGCUAGUAUUUAUGUGGAUAGAAAAAGGGGGGUGGGGCGUGAGGGUUGUUUAACAAGGAGGGAAGAGCCUGUUUUUCUCGUAGUUGAUAAUUCUAAUAUAAUUGUUGAGCAGCUGUAUGCUUACAAUUUAUAAGCUCUAGGAUAUCUCUUUAAGGCAACAUUAGGUGUCUACAAUCACAAGUAUGCUGUAACGGAGGUUCAACCUAGAGGAACAAGCUUGUGGAGUAGGGUAAUCUCAUUUAAAUCUGUGCUCGAAGGAUACUGGUGUACUCGACCUGUCUAAAAACUUAAAGGUGUAAAUGAGGAGAAACAUAAGAAAUCUACGGCCUGAGUUCAAGCAACUUAGAAGUAUUAGAAUUGGAAGCAAAACUGUUUUCUGGCUGGAUGAAUGGAUUGUUCAUGGUCCUUUCAAGGAUGAGUUCCCAACUUCGUAUGGUGUUUGUUAUUUUCUAAUGUGAAUGUGGCUGAAUCUAGAGUUAAUGGGACUUGGAUAGUUAACUUUAGGAGAAAUAUGAAUGAUCGGGAAUGCCAAAGCCCAAAAGAGUAUGUGAACUCCAUUAGCUUUGGAAAAUUCCCAAGGUUGCACCAUCUGUGUAAUGGCAAGGCUGCAGUAAAAUAGAUUUUUCAGUGAAGUCUCUUUAAAGGAUUUUGAAUUAAGAAGAACAUCUCAAGCCACGGCCUUGGAAACAUAUCUGGAAGUCAAGAACUUCACAUAAAGUGAUAUGUUUCUCUUGGAUUGUGGCGAAUGAGGCUUGCCUCACUAUUGAUAAUCUCUGAAGAAGAGAGCUACAUUUCUGUAGUAGAUGUUACUUAUAAGGCAGCCAAAAAUAAACCAUUAAUCAUCCUUUUUCGUAUUGUCCUAUCACCGACUCACUAUCUGCUAUGACGGCUAUAACUCUGCUGGUAUUAGAUGGUUCUGGGGAUACACAGGAUCUUUUGCUUUGUUGGUAUAGGCAUGGCUGGACAAAGCAACAAAUAGCUGGUGGUAGACGAUAUCAGCUUAUAUAUGGAGGUGACUUGGAAAGAAAGUAAUUCAAGAUGUUUUGAAGAGAAGCAAAACUCUGUCUAGAGGAUGAACUUAGAUUGUAUCUUGUUAUUUCCUUUUGGUGUAAAAAGGAAUACACUAAUGAGGUAGAAACUUUAUUAAAUUUCAUUGAGUUCCUUUAAGAUUCAAUGAGGACUGUAUUUUAGGCUCUUUUUGCUCACUUUUACAGAAGCUCCAACACUAUCUCGGUGCUGUUUAUGAAUACAACUAUUUCCUUUUCCAAAAAAAAGGAAGGAAAAAGUUGUAAUGUGAUAAUAAUACUGGAAUACUAGGUAUUAGUGCAUUGGUUACAGCCAAUUUUUGCAUAAUUAUCUUUGUGUUUGAUGAAGUGAAUUAAGUCAUUAACUAUUGAAUCCUAUGUUGUAGUCAUGGUUCUCCAGUUGUUUUGAUCUUUAUCAUACUAUUUUCUUCAUUAAAUGCUUGCUUACUGAAAGUUCUCACGUUUUUACUUUGCUCUACCUUUUCUGUAGUCAAACUAUAGCAUCUUGAAUGAAGCUGAUAUUCACAAAUGCCAAGAGGAAAGUAUUACGAAGAUAUCUACAGUGCUCUCUAUUCCACCGGUAGCUGCUGGCAUCCUGCUUCGGCAUUAUAACUGGUAAAUUCUUUUCAUAAGCAUUACCUUGUAGUUAUGAUUACAGAUCUUAGAUGAUGAUGUACAAUGGGUAUUGAAUUAGAAUUUCUUUCAGUCCUCAGUUGAUUUUUGUGGUAUCAAUAAAUUUGUAGUCUAGCAUGUCGUUGUAGUCAUUUAGUAUGAUUUUAUUUGUUCUUAUAAAAAGAAAAGUAUGCUUGCAGUUCUGGCAGUUGGCUUCUGGGAUCUUGAAUCUGAUGCACAUUGCUCUCACUUACCACAUAUGUACAAGCCUUUUAAGGUUUUUAGGGCUUAUAUGCUAAAUAUCUAGCGUUUUUGGGUCGACAGGAGUGUCAGCAAAGUGAAUGAUGAAUGGUUUGCAGAUGAAGGAAAGGUCCGCAGGAUUGUUGGUUUGUUAGAGAAUCACGUGCCAGUCCCUGAUGGGGAAGAGGUAACUUAAAUUCAUAUAUGAAGAGUACUUUCCUCCUUUAGAUUGGAUUGAAGCUAGAGGUUUAGGGCUGGUCACUACUGUUUCCUUGAAUUGAAGAUGUGCACUUCCUUUCUUGCAGCUUACAUGUGGGAUCUGCUUUGACGUUUUUCCUCGUAAGGAGAUCAGUGGGGCUGCUUGCGGUCAUCCUUUUUGUUUCACAUGCUGGCAAGGUUAAUUUCUUCAGAAAAUUGUCGCUUCUUCAAUGGAAGUUUGAAAGGCAUUUCGGUCAAACAUUCCAUCUCCUUGAAUAACCUGGCAUUCCAGAUGAAUGAAACUAGCCUUUUUCCGUUAGACAGAAUUACUUGAGAAAAUCUUUAAGUUACUCUAUACUGUCUUAAACAUGGUUUACUGGUUUAUCUUGCUGCGAUGCUUGAGGUUUGCUGAGCUCAUCCAGCUCGUUGACAAAUAAAAGAUGUUGGAAAGAAGAUAACAAUAUACUAAUGGGAGGAUUAUACUUUUUGUACCCAUUUCAGGGUUGGUCUUGAUUUCUGAAUUUAUUAUAGGUUCCAUAAGCUGUUUGAGUAUUAUUAUAGGGAUGUGCUUCCUUUGGUUCUUAUUUUGGUACUUGUGGGGAGGGCGGGGGGAUCAUCAGUAGAGCUUUUUAGGGUUGAAAAUGUUUUGCAUAUCUAAGGGCUACUCUGCUGUUGUUGGUUCUGUUACCACAGUUCAUUCACUGUCUUACAUGGAGGGACAAUAGUUUUAUCUGGGUUUUCUAAUACCACUUGUGUACAGGGACUUUCUCGCUUAAAUAGGUUGUUACUUGAUUUUAGAAAAAUAUAGGUGCCAAAGGUUGAUUUCGGAACGUAUGGAUAUGGGAAGCUAAAGAGAAAAGAUUACAGUUAAUUCUAUGAGGCAUUUACUGGUUAAUUUUGUCAGCAUAGAAAAAUUUAAUGUUAAUACCGCAAUACGUGAUGUGUGGAUUAGGUGCACGUCAUGUGUUUGAACCUUGUCGUGGAAAAAAACUUGAUAUUUAAGAGGACAAAGGUGGAGGGGGUGGUCCAAUAUCUACCGAUUGGUCGUGGUAUGGUUAAGUUUUUCUCAAUUCCCGUUUAGGCAUCCCAUAGAGCUUCUCAUUGUCUCUCUAUUUGGUGCAGGGUAUAUUAGCACGGCCAUCACUGAUGGUCCUGGAUGCUUGAUGUUGCGCUGUCCUGAUCCAUCUUGUAGUGCUGCUAUCGGUCUAGAUAUGAUAAAAAAAUUGGCCAAUGAUGAUGACAAAAAGAAGUAUAAUCGGUACUUUAUCAGGUCGUUUGUGGAGGACAAUAGAAAGGUAAUUGCUCCCCCCUCCCCCCCUCCUCGGGCCCCUAGUGAUACUUUACUUUUUGUUAUGUCUUUUGGAAGAAUCUUUACUAUAUGCCUUGUGUGUCUAUUAAGUUCCUAAUGGUUGUUCUGGUCUUCUUUAGACAAAAUGGUGUCCUGCUCCAGGGUGUGAUUAUGCAGUUGACUAUAUUGUUGGUAGUGGAAGCUAUGAUGUUACUUGCGGGUGCUCAUAUAGUUUCUGCUGGAAUGUGAGUUGCAAUGUUUGAACUUAACUACUUUAUAUAAUGAUAGUUGUUCUGUUUCUGCAUUUCUGUAAUCUGUAUGAGUUACAUAUUUGCAGUGUACCGAGGAAACUCAUCGCCCAGUUGAUUGUGGAACUGUGUCUAAGUGGAUUUUGAAGAACAGUGCAGAGUCUGAAAACAUGAACUGGUAUGUAGUAUUAGAUUUUAUCAUCCUGUCCUUUCCUUAUCUUUUGUAUUACUUGGUUUAGCUGGCUUUGGUAAAUGAGUCUUGGAAGAGAGAUGAAAUAACUUGAGGAUGGAGCUAUUCUAGUUAGUACUUUCUCUGGUGAAAUUGUUGCACCAUAGAUGGGUUUUAACCAUCUUGGAGACAGAGGUGAAAUUGGCUCAUAAUUUUAAAUAGAACUUGCUGUAAUCAUGUCUUCCUUAUGUUGGGAAAAAAUAGCAACCGUGGUAACGGAAGGCACAAAGGUAAAGUUGGAGCAUAAAAAACUUGAAAUUCCUGAAAGGGCUAUAAUGCAGCCAUUUUCCUGCUCAGAACUUAGAAGAAAAGGUUUCUUUUCUACUUUUGCAUAGGUUUUGAUUCCAAAUUUGCUUUCUCUGUGUUGGUAGUUUUUGUGUCAUACUGAAGUUCGAAUACAUCUGGGAGUACGGAGGAGGUUCUAUCCUUUCGAAAGAAGCAACUCCCUGUGAUGGUCUCAAAGAGAACUUUGAAGUAAUUUUAACCAGACUCAUUUGUUGAAGAGAACAUAUGGUUAUAUUGAUGUAUUCUUUUGAUUUGAAUAUGUAAGCCUUUGAUGAUGGAUAUCAUUACUAGUUACUACUUGAAAGACCCUGGUAAAGUUGAUCAAGUAGCUACCAGGAAAUUAAUGCAGUACCACAUGUCAUGGAUCUGGACCUUCCGCAAACAAAAGCUUGAUAUAAGUUGAGAAGGGUAGAGGGGUGAACCCAUUAUCCAUUGAGAUUCGAACCUAAAACGCCAUGGUUUCUCUGUUAUUGAAGAAAGAUAAUAUUCACCAAGUGAAGGUCAGGGUAUAACAUUAACUUUCUUGGGCUAUUGCCAAAAGUUCAGUAAUUUUUUUUGUGCUUUUGGGCCCAUUGCGACCCUUUUUUGGGAUAUAGUCAUAAAUUUGAAAGAUGUGCAAAAAUGUGCAAUAUACAAGAAACGUAGCAGAAAAUAGAAAAUCUUGGCAAAAGACGUAAUUUUCUAUGAAUAACACCCCAUCAUUUAUACAUAUAGGGAUCUCGCGGGUGCACCAAAAAGAAAUAAAGGGAAAGGCUAUUCCUCAAGUGUACAAGAUCUUUCGCUAUUCCCAUCAGUAGUUCUCCUACUCGUCUCUCUGCACGUGGUACACAAAGGUGCUAGAGAAGCAACAUCCCACGUCCUGCAUCUUCUUAAGGCCCUGCAAAACAUUGUUUCUUUUGCAGUGCCCGUCUUCACCUGCUCUAGUCCUAACCAUCUUAGAAUUUACCACCACAAACAAGCCUUGAUCCAAUGCAGAAAGUUAAAGAAAACUGCAUUAAUACUCUAUAUUUUUGGUGUAAAGAAGAGGGUAUAGAUGAAGUAGAUCAGUUAGUAGAUUUCAUAGGCUAUUUGUAAUCAUGACUAUUUGGCCUUUGAAUGUUUUUUUGUUUGGUUGCCAGCAUACCCUCAUUGCUGAUGAAUACAACUUUACCAUUCUCAAAAAAAACAAGCCUUGAUCCAGCAAUUUAAAAUGAUGGCCCAUUGUCUACUUUAUGUUGUGUCUCAAAUAGGCUCAUGUUUUAGUAGUUACUGUUCUAUUUUUGUUAGACUCCAGUUUUUACCGUCCUUGAUGUUGUCGAAUCUGUAUCAUUUUGAAGUUUUUGAGAUUUAGUUUUUUUGCAAUUUUAAUUGCUGUAUGGUGCCAACUUGUUUUUCUUAAAUAAUUGUUCAUGCUUCAAAGCAGAGAUAUAUUUGGUGUUAUUAGAGCUGCUAUUCAAUCAUUUUUCGACUAUGCAUUUGAGUUAGCUCUGCCUCCUGAGUCCUGACAACCUAGCUAACUUUCUAUACCAUUAUAUUUGUGUAUUUCAUCUAAGCCUAAAUUCUGUGUCCGUAUUAUAGCUGCAUUUUCUGGAUAUGCAUACUGUUUCCACUUUCAAUACGUGGAACUAAACAUCAUUAUCGUGGUGACAUUGCAGGAUAUUAGCUAAUUCUAAGCCUUGUCCGAAAUGCAAGCGGCCAAUUGAGAAAAAUCAGGGGUGCAUGCAUAUCACAUGCACACCACCCUGUAAAUUUGAGUUUUGCUGGUAAGUGUAUUAGCUAUUUCCAUGGAAUUUCUUUCAGUUCCUGAUCCUAGCAUAUGCUAUAGUGUGAGCAAUUUUUUCAGUCAGUCUGCUUCCAUUUUUAACAUUUUGCUUUGCUUACCAUGCACACACUAAGCAGCAGGACUCCCUCACUGAGGUUGUUGGAUGUGUUUUAUCUUGUCUACACUCUAUAUAGCAUAACUAAUUGCUUGUUUCUAAUGUUAGUUCUGGCCUCCCGUGCUUAAAAAAAAAACAACCAUAUCCAGUGUAGUCCCACAAGUGGGGUCUGGUUUGGGGAGGGUGGUGGUACACAGUCUUACUCCUACCUUUGUGAAGGUAGGGGAGCUGUCUCCCAGAUCUUGUUUCUUUGUGAUUCUUGUGAACUAAGAAGACAUCUUUACAGGCUCUGCCUUGGCCCUUGGACGGAUCACGGUGAGAGAACUGGCGGCUUUUAUGCGUGCAACCGUUACGAGUCAGCAAAGCAAGAUGGAGUGGUAAGAUCUUUGCUCUAUUAGUAUUCUCUAUUUUCAAGAUUUAUCUGCUAAUUCAGUUCCUUAAUCAUAAGUUAGCUAAUGUUUAUUUGAUGUUUUUCUUCCAGUUUGAUGAAUCUGAAAAGAGGAGAGAGAUGGCAAAAAAUUCUUUAGAAAGAUAUACACAUUACUAUGAGCGAUGGGCCACCAACCAGUCGGUAGGUUUAGGACACCUUUACUUUUGGUUGUUUCUCAUUAUCAGCUAUCUCAACUUCUGUUAGGAUAAGGAUAAUAGAAACAGAAGAUUGGUUUUUGCUCAUGUUCUUCUAUUUUUUUUGAAACUGGUAACUUUUUGCUCGUGUUCUUUCUAGAUACUACUGUAAUUCUUCUUUGCGACCUAAAUUUGUGGUGAUGGCUUCUUGCAUGGAUGAUGGAUAGAAUUGUUAUGCGACUUGACACAUGAAAUUUUUAUACAUGAUCUGUCAGCAGGCUUUCAGAUAGUGUGGUUCUGGUUCUCAUGACCUUGCUUUUGAUAUCAUCAAUUUAAAUAUAAUAGCAAGAAAGUCUAAUGUCCAUGGGAAUGUCUCGAAUCAUGGAAUAGAUGCUGCAUAAUUUCUGCUCCUACCGGGAGUCUAGUAUUACCAAUCUAAAGAUCUACUUAUGCUAUAUGAAAAUAUAGAUUGGAUGAUGUAAUGUCUCUAUCAAGUUACAAUCUUAUGCAAUUGUCAGCAUGAAGGUGACCUGUAGGACAUUUCGAUAGUUCCAACAAUGGAACCUGUACAUUCGAGAUUGAUUUUCCAUAAUCUAAUGGGACGAAAGAGUCUGUGCAUGGUGAAUAUAACUAAGGGAAAAUAAUUUAUGUAACUAAUUCUUCUCCUCCAAUUUUGUUUGGCAUGCUUUCUGUUAUAUUUUUUCCCAAAAAUGACCUCUUUCCUUGAUAGCAAAGUCAACCCAAUCCAAAAAGAUGUUUAUCCCUUUUAUGUUUAUCUUCAUAUAUGAUAUCUAGAUCCUUAGGAACUGCAAGUCUGGGACUUGGAUCUUCCUCAUGACAUUUAUUCUUCUUUUACUGUAAUCAUCUUUUGCUGUCUUCUCAAAUCAUCUUGUGCAGUGUGAAGGCACUAGAAACUUUUGCCCACUUGUGGGUCUGAAUUGAAAAGUAAUCAUCCAGAAAAAUAGUUCUCUUUUAUGUCAUGGGUUUGUUACUAUCUUCUCUGUUCCAGUAGUGAAACUUCUGUGCGUGUCUUCAUUGCUUUGCAUAUAUUUCAUGUUGAACUGGGCCAAGUCUGCAUCCUGGGGAUUGAGACUUAAGUAGUGUACAAUUAUGUUUCUUUGCCUCAAAAGGCCAUUCCUUUUGUUUCUGAUUCUUCUUAUUUAUUGGGAGAAGUCUAUCUAUAGAUGCUGCAGGAUCCUUGUUUAACUGCUUACCUAAUGUCAGUAAUGUCUUUUUUAUGUCUUAUUGCAGUCGCGGCAAAAGGCACUUUCAGAUCUUCAGCAAAUGCAAACAGUACAUGUAAGAAAAUUUCUGUUACAUAUAAAAAAUAGGGAAAAGGGUCAAAAAUACCCCUUAACUUUGGUUUAUUGUUUGACUAUGCCCUCGCCGUUAAAAUGAAGUUAUUUUUACCCCUCCCGUUACUAAUUUCACCAAAUUUACCCCUCAAUUGGAUGGAAAACCCCAAAUUGACUCAGUUUAACCCAAAUUUUAAAAAAAGACCCAUUCCCCAUUUUAAACCCAAUGCUCGACCCAUCCAAAGUUGAGGGGUAUUUUUGACCCUUUGCCCUCAAUUGGAUGAAAAAUCCAAAUCAACUAAAAUUACCCAAUUUCAAGUAAAUGACCCGAUUUUCUCUUUUAAUCCAAACCGACCCAUUUAUAUCAAAUUAGAACCCUAAACCCAUCUCUCUAAUCUUCUCCAUCUCCUUCUUCCAUUGAAACACAUACUACUAAAAUUGACAACAAAUAUUUUGUAGUUAAACUAAUGCAUAUUUGUCCUUCCUACUAAAAUUGCACCACUAUUUUAGUGUGGUCGGAGCUUGGAGCUCGUUCAAUCAUCGGAUUUUGCUUUCCUGCGGGCAGAUCUGAAACUAUGAUAUUGCUUGCUUGUUGAGCCUAGCCAGAUAUGAAGUUGUGGCUGUUGUUUUCGAGCCUUGAUUCUCGCCUGAUUGUGUUGUUGGUUUGAUCUGUUAGCGGUGCUUCAGUUGUUUUCCGAUGGGGUUUUGGUCGGGGUUUUGUUGGUUGGUUGUUUGGAGGUCGGAGAACUGGUGGUCAUUUGCUGGUUGUUUUAGCUUGGGUGAUGGAGGUCUGGGUUCUGGUGGGCUGAAGUGUGGUUUUACCACUGGAUUUUGGUGUGGAGAGAGUGGUGUUUGAGAGUUGUUUCAGGUCGGUUUCACGGCUGUUUGAAUGAUUCCGACGGUGGGUAAUUUGCUUAAUGUUGUUCCAGCUUGAAACUGGCCGAAAAUGGAGAAGAAAGAUCUUGUUGUCGUCAAUGGAAAGUAGAGGAAAAUGGGUUUGUUGUUAAUGUUUUAUUUGCUUGAUGUCGUUUCUGGUUCUUGGGGGGUUUUUUAGUGGUGGUUUCAGGUGGUCGUUUGGAGGUUGUUUUUGGUGGUGUUUUCGCCGGAAAACGGAGAAAAUGAAUGGCGAUUUUGGGGUUUUAAUUUGGUAUAAAUGGGUCGGGUUCGGAUUAAAAAGAGAAAAAAUUGGGUUAUUUAAUUGAAAUUGGGUAAUUUUAAUUGAUUUGGGUUUUCCAUCCAAUUGAGGGGUAAAUUUGGUGAAAUUAGUAACGGGAGGGGUAAAAAUAACUUCAUUUUAACGGCGAGGGCGUAGUCAAACAAUAAACCAAAGUUGAGGGGUAUUUUUGACCCCUUUCCCUAAAAAAUAUAAGUAUCAAAAUUCUUUUCAUACAACAGUCUUUUGCUUUAUGCUUAUACACUUAUUAACAAACUGCUUGUUUGUUUCUCUUUCCCGAAGAAUUUGAAAAUAUUCACAAGUAGAAGAACCCAGCUUCCGAAUGAACAAGUUCAAACUUGAAAAGGAUUUCAUUAUAUAUUUUCCCUAAAGUCUUGUCCCCAUUUGUAUAGACUGAACUGCUGAGUUUAAUUUUGUUGCUGAGCUUUUUCAGUCUGCUCCUCUGAAAGUAUCUCAUUGUGAUAAUAUAACGCGUUUCUUUGGAGGCAAAAUAAAAGCUUUUUAUUAUCUUUCAUGUUUCCUACAUUGCAUAUUCAUUCAUUGAGUAACCCAUGCAAAAGUGGUCAAGUACAAGGUUGGGUAUCAAAAGAGGACUUGGCCAUCUUUCUCUUUCAAGUUGUCAUUAUCUGAUUGUAUUUCUGAAUUUCCGGAAAGCAUUUAUAGUGAUUGCACUUUGCAGCUUGAGAAGCUGAGUGACAAACAGUGUCAACCCGAAUCACAGCUCAAAUUUAUUAUAGAGGCCUGGUUGCAGGUAAUGUAGAUCUUCUAUGUCAAUAUUGAGUGUUCUUCCUCUCUCUUGAUUCAUGUAUAUAUAUAUUGAUUAUGACGGCUAAAUCAUUGCAGAUAGUUGAGUGUAGGCGUGUGCUAAAAUGGACUUAUGCAUAUGGUUAUUACUUACCCGAGCAUGAACAUGCCAAAAGGCAGUUCUUUGAGUAUUUACAAGGUUUUGCCUUUGCUUCCUUUUCGAGAAUCACAUUUAGAUGGUUUCCUUCAUUUAUUGAGGCCCUUAUCCUUAAUGCCGUAGGUGAGGCUGAGUCUGGACUUGAACGGCUUCACCAGUGCGCGGAGAAAGAACUCCAGGGGUACCUUGAUGCUGAAGGUCCAUCAAAAGAAUUUAAUGAGUUCCGAACAAAGCUUGCAGGGCUUACAAGGUAAUAUAGAUUCUGCAUAAAACCUGGAGUUCUAAUCUUUGGUUUCUAUUAGUGGCUAGUGAAUAUGAUGGUUAGUCUCAUCUCUGUAGGAGCAGAUGAAUAGAACGUUUAACACAAAAGGAUGUGUCAUGUUUUUAACAUUCCUUGAGAAAGGCUAAAAUCUUGUUGAAGAUAUUACCAACUCUUUUAGCAGACCAGGUUUCUAUCAUUGCUCAGUUUCGUUUAAACAAGGAGAGGCUUCUGCGCUUCCUUUUAUUGGAUAAGUAGGAAGAAAGUUUUGCAUUUGCUUGAAAGUUAAUGAUAUUCCACCAAAAUGAUUUAACCUAUUUUUAGGGUUAAGACUCAAAUUUUAGGUGAUCCUAUUGUUUGGAAUCAACUAAUGUAAAAGGCAAGUUGAAUGGACAACUAAUAGGUCUUCGAUUAAAUUCUCCAUUCACAAAACUCUUAUUCUAUCACGGGACCAGUAAGUAGUGCGUUCCAGAAAUAUUGAGGUCUCCAAGUUUUCAGUUGGAUCAGCAAGUCAUCAGGGUAAGCAUCCUUCAAAUGCAACAAAUGCCAAUUUCUUUUGACAGAAUAUUUUAUUCACCAGUAAGGAAACAAACCUUCUAUAUUGCUGUCAUAGUUUCUUAUAGCCCUGCUUCAGAAACUUCUAUUUUUGAAAGGGUCUAUUGGAAACAACCUUUCUACCCCACAAAGGUAAGGGUAAGGUUUACGUACAUCCUACCCUCUCCAGACCACACUUGUGGGAUUACACCGAGUAUGUUGUUGUUUGUAAAUGGGAAACUUACUCAUAUAGGAAUAUGCAAGCAUCUAACAUACUUAAGUUGGAUGAGUGCUAGUGUAGCAGCCCAGUUUCUUGAGAGUCACAUUCAAGCUCUGGUUUCUGAGGCAUGUCCACUGAUGAAUAAUAUAUGAUAUCUUUUGUGUUAGCUGAUUCCGACAUGAAAGCGGGCAGAACAUCGCUUGUGAUUCAUAGUUUCUGUAUGAGAAAACUAGUACGGCUGUUGUACUGCAGGAACAAAAUCUUUUUUAACCAGGUUUGAUUAGAUUUAGGGUCUGUACUUGUCUCUUACUUGUGUUCAACUUUAGUGUACAUCCGGUGGAGGUUCUUCCUAUUUUAUUGCGCAUCUUGCUGAAAUGCAGGGAUAUCCCAAUCUGUUAUAAUUUAUUUAUAGAGAUGGGUAGGGAGAAUACUAAUAAUUUAUUCUGUUCAAAUGAUGACAGCGUAACUCGAAACUACUUUGAGAACCUGGUUCGAGCUUUAGAGAAUGGUCUCUCGGAUGUGGACGGUCAUGGUGCUUACAGCAGGGCAGCUAGCUCAAAAAGUUUGGGAGGUGGGAGCAUCAAAGGAAAGGGCGGUAGAGGAAAAGGAACCACAUCAAGAUCAAGCAGUUCUAGAAACAUAGAUGAUUCAGGACAUUGGUCUUGUGAGUAUUGUACAUAUGCCAAUGUUAGGUCUGCUACCGCGUGCCAGAUGUGCCAGCAGCGUCGUUGAAGCCAUUUUUGAAGUUACUACUUCAGAUUGGGAAAAUCCUUACUAUCUGCUGAUUGCUAUGACUGAGGUCCAGCUCCAGACGUGUCUUUUAAGUCACGUACAUGCAGGAACAAAUCGAAACCUAACAGUCGUAAAGUCUGAUAGAGACGAUAAGUUUAUGGCCAUGAGUUGGAAAGUCAAUCAUAUACAUCUGGAGAUGAAUAUGUACAUACUGUUUGUUGCCUGUCAUCUUUGUAAACUGUAUCUGACUUUUGCCAGAAAAAUGUUCUUUUGAAAUAUUCAACUCCCUGAUUAUACAAAGCUGUUGUGUUAGUAAAGUCUUAAGGGCAUAUCACAGCAUAUGAAAUAGAAGGUUCCAACUAAAAAAAUGGAAAGGAGUGAAUGUAUAGUUAAAUCUUACACGAUGCUAGUAUCCUAUGCUGCUCCGACUCUUCAAAAUGUUAUGGGUGCAUGUCGGAUUUUUCAAAAGUAGUGCUUUUUUGAAAGAUUCAACAUGGGUGUGACAUCAUUUUUGGAGAGUCGAAGCAACGUAGUACCUAUUUCACUCACUCAAGUACAUUCUCGAAUGUUCGAAUUGUUUCUAGUUUCUAGGAAGGUUUGCAAAGUCUACUUUUUUUUAGCAUGUGA
rnacentral:lncRNA from 1 species